rnacentral:lncRNA from 1 species
CAUGCCAUUAGGCAACAAGCUGCUUGUUUAAUCUAUCUGCAUCCAUAUAAAAUUGGAAAUUCAAUCGAUCUUAUGUAAUAAAGUUGCCCUUCCAACUUGAGUUGCAUUAGGACUCAUUAACUAUAUAUUCCUUGUAGGGUACUGGAUAUGAUGCUUCUAGUUUGCUCAGUGACAGCAAAAGAACAUGAAGACUCAUUAACUAUAUUCCUUGUAGGGCACUGGAUAUGAUGGCCUGUUAGGACCUAAUAGGAGGCAGUAGCUUCAUGUGCUUGUAUUGGUCAAAGGACUUCCUAAUUCAUGUCCU